rnacentral:misc_RNA from 1 species
AAAACUGCGCUCGCGGUCGUUCCGACGAAGAAGAAGAAUGCGUUAUCCGUUUCAUCUAGCAAAGACAGGCAUACAAAAGUCAAUGGUAGAGGACGGCGCGUAAGGAUGCCGGCGUUAUGCGCGGCGCGUGUUUUUCAAUUAACGAAGGAACUAGGUCAUAGGACUGACGGAGAAACGAUAGAGUGGCUUCUCCGUAACGCUGAACCAGCAAUCAUCGCUGCUACAGGAACAGGUACGGUUCCGGCGACUCAAGUCACUACGACGUCGGAGA